AUGGCUCAGGAUGAACGCUAGCGACAGGCCUAACACAUGCAAGUCGAGGGGCAGCACAAGGAGCAAUCUGAGGUGGCGACCGGCGCACGGGUGAGUAACACGUAUGCAACCUGCCUGUAAGCGGGGAAUAACCCGUUGAAAGACGGACUAAUACCGCAUAAUACUAAAUUACUGCAUGGUAAUUUAUUUAAACAUUUAUGGCUUACAGAUGGGCAUGCGCAUGAUUAGCUAGUUGGAGAGGUAACGGCUCCCCAAGGCAACGAUCAUUAGGGGUUCCGAGAGGAAGGUCCCCCACACUGGUACUGAGACACGGACCAGACUCCUACGGGAGGCAGCAGUGAGGAAUAUUGGUCAAUGGACGAGAGUCUGAACCAGCCAAGUCGCGUGCAGGAAGAAUUGUCCUAUGGAUUGUAAACUGCUUUUGCAGGGGAAUAAAGUGCAUCACGUGUGAUGUUUUGUAUGUACUCUGCGAAUAAGGAUCGGCUAACUCCGUGCCAGCCGCCGC
rnacentral:rRNA from 1 species